rnacentral:rRNA from 1 species
AUGAACGCUAGCGACAGGCCUAACACAUGCAAGUCGAGGGGCAGCGCGUGUAGCAAUACGAUGGCGGCGACCGGCGCACGGGUGCGUAACAGGUGUGCAAUCUGUCCAUAGUCGGGGAAUAGCCCAGCGAAAGUUGGAUUAAUGCUCCAUGUGAGUGAGAGCCGCAUGACUUUCACUUGAAACGUAAGGACUAUGGGUGAGCACGCUUCUGAUUAGGUAGUUGGUGAGGUAACGGCUCACCAAGCCGACGAUCAGUAGGGGUUCUGAGAGGAAGGUCCCCCACAUUGGAACUGAGACACGGUCCAAACUCCUACGGGAGGCAGCAGUGAGGAAUAUUGGUCAAUGGACGAGAGUCUGAACCAGCCAAGUCGCGUGAAGGAUGAAAGGUUCUAUGGAUUGUAAACUUCUUUUAUUCGAGGGUAAAGUGUGGCACGUGUACCAUAUUGCAAGUAUCGAAUGAAUAAGCAUCGGCUAACUCCGUGCCAGCAGCCGC